CCACACGUUGAAUUUUUACAGCCGCACCUGACUGGUUGAAAGCUGUUCAGGCACUGAUGAUCCUUGGGAUUCUGGUUAUGGCAUUGAGUACACUUCUUGGGUGCUUGUUUUCAAAAUACAACUCGAAAAAAUAUUUGUAUUUAAGCACGAUUCUUACGGCUGCUCUUGGAGGUAUUGUAAUCAUUAUAGCGGUGGUAGUGUUUGGAGCUGAGGAGACAAAGUUGCGUUCCCAGUUAAGUGCUGGCUUCUACUUGGCAGUCGUUUCUGGUGUGCUGUCGUUGGUUGCUGCUAGUCUUCUGGCUGUUUCAUCAAGAUCUACCGGAGGAUAUAGCCUUAUAUAACAUCCACGGUCGUCUCUGAAACAUGUCUAUAUCACAAACUGACAAAUUGUGGAAUUUAUAACUUUUAUACGUUUGAUUACUUUAAAAAUCUUCUAUUUUGUCUUGAUUAGAAGUUAUAAUUGAAAAACAAAUAAGAUGCAUGCGUAUGUGUUUUUUUGAGAAAGCUAAAUUAGAUAUGAAAAAAAAAUAAAUUAACAAAUAUUAAUAAGAAAUUAAAAAUUUUAAAUCUUAAAUUGAGUCGUAGAACAACAUAUGUUUAAAUAGUAUAUAAAUGUUAAUUUGAAAGCUUUUGCACGACACAAAACUAUCCUGUUCUUUGAAAUUUAUACGUCUAAUGGUAAGGAUGUGAUGAAAAUCUCUGAUAACCUUUGUUUGAUUGUACUAAUACAAUGCGUAGUAACUAGAGAGUAACUGCGAGUCUUGAAAAUAAAUAGUAAAAUAGUGCAUGGAAAUUGAAAUAUAACAUGGUAUGUUUUGCUGCCUUUAUUGACUUUAAAAAGGCAUAUGAUUCGGUCAGUACGUGAAGCGAUGCAAUAUGAGACAGCCUCAUAUACCGCAAACAGUAACAACAGAGUGUUUCACCGUGACAACAGGCCUCGUAUUCUUUACUAUAAGAUAUGGGUAAUUAAGAAAAUGUAUUUUAGAAUUUUACAUAUCAUUAAAUUUGUACAUGUACUAUAUUGAUUCACACAUAUUUGUUCAGGUUUUGCAUAUGAACCGCAUUGACAUUUCCACUUCUCCACUUAUUUUCAGAGGUAGUUCAUAUAUGUAGGAACAUACGCACGCAGGCAGGCACGCACGCACGCAUGUACACACGCAAUUCAUACAAGUAGGCACAUACGAAUGCGCGGGCACACACACGCACGCACGCACACACAUUAGUUUUACUGUGAUUUAUCCAAAUGUUUUAUGUAAAUAAAGGACGAUAAUUAACAUUUUAUGGAAAUUGCAAUUCUUUAUUAAAAUGGCGAUUUACUUGUAUGAUAUGUGCGCUAUUUUAUGGUAUUAUAUGUGUAUAAAAUGUAAAUGGAUGAAGCUUUCAUUGAACAAACGAUUUAAAUCAAUCUGUGAAUGGUUUGUGUAAACGAAAAUCAGAUAAAAACCAUGUUCCACGGAAGUUGCAAGUGAAACUAUCACGAGCAUUGUCAGUCAAAUCGCAACUAUCAUAGCCAGUCAAAUUGCAACGAACGUAGCCUGUAACCCAAUGCGACAUAUGUAUACACAAAAAUACACAGACAAUGUCACGGAUACCUCGAUUGCAAGUUAGCUCGGCAUGCACUAUCAAACAUACCUCAGAUUCGUAUAAAGUGUAUUUUAAUGCAUCGCUAGCUAAAUAGGCUAAUUAUUAUUCAAGAAACAGAACAUACGGGUAUUCAUUUUUAUUAUACGAAAGUAUUAAAUUCCGUAGUCACAAAAAUGCAAAUCAAGAAAUGUAGUUGUAGUUCAUCUAAAUCCAAACAGUUUGUGAGUGUUUCUUCGGUGACUAGAUGCAAUGUUUUUUUUUAGUUUUUUUUUUUAAAUACAUAAACAAUCUGUUGAUUCUUCUUUGUUUAGAUUAAAGAUUUAUAUGCAUAAUGGUUCAUGAAUGCGUUUGAUAUCGUAAAGAUGUAUCUCCUGUACUCACGUGCAUUUCUCUAUACAUUGUAUAAACUUCAUUUAUUGCAAUAGGUUACAGCAUGAUGAUAUACCCCUAAAUAUCACAUAAGCCGUAAGCAAACACAUUUGAAAAUGUUAAUACCACUUAAAAUAGCACAUAAAUAAAAUAUAAAUGUUAGGUAUGUUUUGAUACUUAUCGCCUGGGUUGACAGUGUAUUGAUACACUCAAAUGCAAAUGAUAUAAACUUUUAAAGUUGAUAUUGGUUUGUUUCGGUGUAAGAUUGCAAUAUUAAUUUGUCAGAGACUGUAUUAUCACGAGUGGUGAGCCACGAGUAAAAAUGUAAGAUAUGGUGUUCACGAGUGAACGAUAUUCUUAUCUUGCAUGCAUGAAAACACCAUUUCUUUAUGUUUCGUGAUUUUGUCAUUUGGUUUAACCAAAUUUUACCCAGAUUUAAGUUCCGUCAAUAACUCUAAGAGAACAUAUAAUAAAUAUUUUUUUUAUUCACUACUACUAUAGAAACAUGCUGAAAAUUGACCAUAUAUAGAUUUAUGCAUACACACAUUCGAAGACCUAUUAUUUUGUAAUAUGAUAGAGUCAUACACAUUGAGUUGUUAUCAAUAAUCAGGGAUAAUCAGGGGCAUAACUUGCCAAGUCAACGAUAUUUUAGAAGGUUCGUGGUCACCUCCCCUAGCAAAAUUCUAUAGGUUAUAACACACUAAAUAGUUGUUGUUCUUUAUUCUAUAUAAAAUUGACCUAAUUCCAAUGACCGCAGCACACAUCAGGACCCAUUUUAAAUUUCUGUAAGCUAUAUUUUCUUGAAGAAUAUUGUCAGUACUAACUAAAAAUCAAAAGAAAAGUGGGGUCAUGUUUGAUGCAAGAAAAAUAAUUUCAGUCAAACACACAAACUGCAAAAUCAGCUAGAAAAUGAGACCCCAAAUUAUACUGGUGGUGUAUGAUCUACGUUUCCAUGAAACAUUUUGUAAUGUUGUUAUUUCAUUAUGAAAAUGCUACUUACACGUCAAGCAUAGAUCUGUCAUGUGAUUUUAGCAAAAAAAUUGCAAAGAAAAUAAGGAAAAUAGCUCUACAUAGCAAAAAAAAACUGAGGACUAUUUGUAUCCGCCAUUAUGCGACUACCAUUUUUUCUCGCGCCAUUUUUCUUUUAGUGUCUGUAUGCCUCUAUAAUUCUGUUUCACCACAACAGCAGAUUGGGGGCAUUUUGAUGCAUACGAGACAGUGGAGAAAAAUACAAUAAGUAAUUUCACAGUUUUUGUCAUGCAUGUAAGAAAGUAUUUUUCCAUACACAUGAUACAUGUGCUCAUGAUAUAAAUUUAAGACAUAAAUGGAACCGAAAACUUUACGUUCUAUAUUAUACAUACUAUAAUAACAUAAUAUAAAUAACAUAAUAUAAUAACAUAAUAUAACUAACAAGCCCGCCCGCUUAGCUCAGUCGGUAAGAGCGUUGGCCUACGGAUCACGGGGUCAUGAGUUCGAUCCUCGGGCGGGGCGUAUGUUUUCCGUGACUAUUUGAUAAACGAUAUUGUGUCUGCGAUCAUUAGUCCUCCACCUCUGAUUCAUGUGGGGAAGUUGGCAGUUACUUGCGGAGAACAGGUUUGUACUGGUACAGAAUCCAGGAACACUGGUUAGGUUAACUGCCCGCCGUUACAUGACUGAAAAACAAACAAACAAACAAAUAAUAUAACUAACAACGACAAGAAAUGUAUACCUACCUGUCGAAGUCCAAGCAGCACAAAAAUGAUCAAAAGAGCUUUGCACCCGUUGUUAUAAGGCCGACUGUUAGAUAUCAUUGAUGAACGGAUUACGCCCAUUUAUUAUCUAAGUUUUUAAUAUCUUUUUUGUUGGCGUUAUUGUAAAUGUUCUUUUACGAUACAGUUUAAAUUCCACGUAAAGUUAUCAGCCAGUUUUCGAGGAAUUACACAAAAUAAUGCAUAUCUUAUUAUCAUGUAUAUUUUAUUUUUUUGCGAAAAUGACUGAAAUAGUAAUAUAGCGAGUUAGCGGCUUCUUCGGAUUGGUAUAAUAUUCAUACUUUCAGUAAUUGAAGUGUAACGCAAAGCUCAUAAUAACAUAUGUUAUGGUUUUGUUAUGGUUUAAUAAUAGAUAUGCAGUCAUUUUACAUAAAGUCAAGCUUUCUGCACUUCCUUGAAUCAAAUGCAUUCAUUUAAACAUUACUGAUUUUGACGUCAAUGUGAUUGUGCCUAAUCAGUAUUGCCGACGUUGACACCCAGUCGGGCGCAGUUUGUAUUGAUGGUUGACCGCAAUUAAUUAGUUAUUGAUUCGUUCAAUAGCAAUAAAUAAUUUUAUCGGGAUUAUGUCAAAAGAUUUUACAUUUUUAUCAAAAGCUCAUUACUGGGCAAGGUUAAUAGUUAUAGACACCGAGCCUGACUGUGUUACAAAACCAUUAUAGUACCUGGUCGAUAUCUAUUUUCACUGUUCAUUUUAGUACAUAUAUAAGUUUACUACAGCGUGAACACAGAACACAGAAGUGGUAGGUAACAAACAUAACUGUGUAUGAGAUACUUGUAACAGCUACUGAAAACGGUGAAUUAUUAAUGUGAUUUUAACUUGUCAACUGAAGACGAAGACUGGUGGAAAGCGGUUCAGUCAUUGAUGAUAUUGGGAAAUGUGUUUUUGGCACUGAGUACGCUUCUCGGCUGUCUAUAUUACAAAAACAGCACACAAAGCUUCAUACAAGGCACGGUUUUCACGGCUUUACUUGGAGGUGUUGUGCUCAUCACAGCAGUAAUCGUGUUUGGAGUGGAGGAAAAGGAGCAUAAAUCAUCUUUCAGUGCGAGUUUUAUCUUGGCAAUCGUAUCUGGGGUGCUGGCGUUCAUUGCUGGAGGACUUGUGGGGAUUUCAAAGCGAGGUCAUCCAGGAUACAGCUCUAUCUAAUCCACAUCAGAAGGCGAUUAACUGAACAUUAUUUAUUUCUACGUAGUGUUCUCUUCCAGUCAUCGAUUCGCAUUUUUAAAGUGACCUUUCAUUAUAUUACUUUAAUGGAUGUAAUAUAUUCCAUACUGGACGAUGUGACAAAGCAACUUUAGUUCGAAUCGCCAUGUUAACCAAACGGUUAAGCCAUGAAUCGAUAAAAAUAUUCGCAUGACUUUACGGGGUAUUUCUAUAAAUGUUUUGUAAACCAGAUCGUGCCUGUCUGUAUUGCUGUCCGUAUUGAUUCCCCUCUGUUGACUGAGAAAAAUAAGCAUAAAAUGAUGUAUAUAACAUUUCCCAGUUCAGUAUUGGGUAUAUCUUGGCGAGUACCCGUAUGAAAACAUAUUGGAUGAGAUUUGUGUUACAAAACGCCUAAAUAUAUAGCGUAUUGCAUGGAAAAAUGUUAAAUAACCAAUUAGUAAUUACUUGGAUUCACAUGUUUUCUUUUAGUAACAGAAUAUGCUGUCGAGAUAUCUUCUUCAAUAUAUCAAUAGCUUUGUGUAAUGUCUUUACCAUUGUAUUUGCUUGUGCACGUGUAACAAUAAAAUGACUAUGUAUUAUA